UACGUAGGGGGGCAAGCGUUGUCCGGAAUCAUUGGGCGUAAAGAGCGUGUAGGCGGCUCGGUAAGUCCGCUGUGAAAGUCCAGGGCUCAACCCUGGAAUGCCGGUGGAAACUGUCGAGCUAGAGUCCGGAAGAGGCGAGUGGAAUUCCUGGUGUAGCGGUGAAAAUGCGCAGAUAUCAGGAGGAACACCAAUGGCGAAGGCAGCUCGCUGGGACGGUACUGACGCUGAGAACGCGGAAAGCGUGGGGAGCAAACAGG
rnacentral:rRNA from 1 species